GACCAACCCUUAAAAGCUGCUACACCCUUAGGAUGUCUUAAUCCAACAUCGAGGUCGCAAACCCUCCCUUCAAUAUGAACUCUCCAGAAGAAAUUACGCUGUUAUCCCCGUGGUAACUCUCUCCCUUAAUCACCUAUUUAAUUUUAGCGGAUCCUUUUAUUAAACCUCCACAUGUCAGUUAUUUUAUAAUCAUAGUUUCACUUAUGCCCUAAAACAUAAGCCAUUUANUCUUCAUUAAAAGAGGAAGCUUCAAAUAUUCCUCCGUUUUCCCCCACUAAAAAUACCCUAAAAAUUAGUUCAAUACAGUAUAACUGUUUUUCCUAUUUCAAGGCUUCAUUAAAGCUCAACGGGGUCUUCUCGUCCCGUAGCCAAAUUUAGGCUUUUUCACCUAAAAAUUAAUUUCUAUAUAAUCGUCAGGAGACAGCUUAGUCUACGUCAAACCUUUCAUACUAGCCCUCAAUUAAAAGGCAAAUGAUUAUGCUACCUUUGCACAGUCAGGGUACUGCGGCCGUUUAAUUCCUACAUCACCGGGCAGGUCAGACUCUCUAUUCUUAUUUUUC
rnacentral:rRNA from 1 species